rnacentral:rRNA from 1 species
GCCUACGGGGCGCAGCAGUGAGGAAUAUUGGUCAACGGGCGAGAGCCUGAACCAGCCAAGUCGCGUGAGGGAAGACGGUCCUAUGGAUUGUAAACCUCUUUUGCCGGGGAGCAAAAAGCGGUACGUGUACCGCAUCGAGAGUACCCGGAGAAAAAGCAUCGGCUAACUCCGUGCCAGCAGCCGCGGUAAUACGGAGGAUGCGAGCGUUAUCCGGAUUUAUUGGGUUUAAAGGGUGCGCAGGCGGCGAGUUAAGUCAGCGGUAAAAUUUCGGGGCUCAACCCCGACAAGCCGUUGAAACUGGCUUG